rnacentral:rRNA from 1 species
GAUGAACGCUGGCGGCGUGCCUAAUACAUGCCAGUCGAGCGAACGGACGAGGAGCUUGCUUUUCUGAUGUUAGCGGCGGACGGGUGAGUAACACGUGGAUAACCUACCUAUAAGACUGGGAUAACUUCGGGAAACCGGAGCUAAUACCGGAUAAUAUUUUGAACCGCAUGGUUCAAUAGUGAAAGACGGUCUUGCUGUCACUUAUAGAUGGAUCCGCGCUGCAUUAGCUAGUUGGUAAGGUAACGGCUUACCAAGGCAACGAUGCGUAGCCGACCUGAGAGGGUGAUCGGCCACACUGGAACUGAGACACGGUCCAGACUCCUACGGGAGGCAGCAGUAGGGAAUCUUCCGCAAUGGGCGAAAGCCUGACGGAGCAACGCCGCGUGAGUGAUGAAGGUCUUCGGAUCGUAAAACUCUGUUAUUAGGGAAGAACAUAUGUGUAAGUAACUGUGCACAUCUUGACGGUACCUAAUCAGAAAGCCACGGCUAACUACGUG